rnacentral:rRNA from 1 species
CUGACGUUAGCGGCGGACGGGUGAGUAACACGUGGGUAACCUACCUAUAAGACUGGGAUAACUCCGGGAAACCGGGGCUAAUACCGGAUAAUACAUGAAACCGCAUGGUUUCAUGAUGAAAGACGGUUUUGCUGUCACUUAUAGAUGGACCCGCGGCGUAUUAGCUAGUUGGUAAGGUAACGGCUUACCAAGGCAACGAUACGUAGCCGACCUGAGAGGGUGAUCGGCCACACUGGAACUGAGACACGGUCCAGACUCCUACGGGAGGCAGCAGAC